GACGACUUUUAAACGCGAGUGGAAGAAAGGACUCCCCANGGGUUUUAAUACCCCAUGGGACGAUGACAUUUAGCUGCAGAAUAAGCACCCGGCUAACUCUGUGCCAGCAGCCGCGGGUAAUACUAGGGGUGCGAGCGUUUAUCCGGAAUUAUGGGUUUUUUGGACUGGACUCGCGGCCAUCAGCUGUGUGNGUAUGCUCACAGNGCCAGGUCCUCGUCCGUGUCCGUGCCGUUCCACACCUACGGACUGAGACGACCGGCCACGACGGCUACGGAGGCAGCGGAAUGGGUAAGUAUUAGUCGGGCAAACCUUGGGCGUCCGAAGCCCUGAUCGGCAGCGUGACGACGGCUUGGGGUAUUAGGAGGCCUUUACGGGUUGUGAACCUAUUACGACCACUGUAGUACACGCUGCCUCGUUGNGGNGUUGACGUGCNGGAUAAGANCGCGACUACUACGUGCCAGCAGCCGCGGUAAUACGUAGGGCGCGAGCGUUGUCCGGAAUUAUUGGGCGUAAAGAGCUCGUAGGCGGCUGGUCGCGUCUGUCGUGAAAU
rnacentral:rRNA from 1 species